CCUAGACCCCUAGAGCUAAGAGGAGGAGCUGAAAAGAGACACAAACAAUACACAUCCGACCUAUACACUAAUAAAAAGCGCCACAGAACACAAAAACGACCCCCCCCCCCCCGCUCCCUGAAACUUGAAUUUCUUCUUCAACAAAGAGCAUCCAACGACACACAAAUCUUGAAUCUCCAGCCGAUUUCCAUGGAUAGAACCUAAGCUUUCUUCAUCUUCUUAAAACAACAACAUCCUCCUCUCUGAUUUUCGAAUCAAGCUAAAAUGUCAUGAAAUAGUAGCUAAAGCUGCUGCCAGUUCCAGCUUAAAUCCAGCCUCUCUAGCCUUUAAAAAUCUGUCCAAAAACGCCUAAAAAGAUCACCAAACACCACUUCUUCUUCGCAAAUUUCAACAAACACUUCAGAGAUUCGACAAAAGAGUUUCGCCGUCCUAUUUCUGUCCAAGCUCAGUCGAGUUGAAUCCGGUCGAGGUCAUUGUCGAUGCUUUCCAUUUGAGAUCCUGUUCAUGGCCCUGUCCAUUUUGAGUGUUAAGGUUGUCCAUUGAUCAAGGAACAGAUUCAUUUCAAAGGUCCAUUUCUCGCCUUUUAUUUCUUGUAUUUAAUGGGUCAUAACUGAUUUUGAUUUACUUGUGUUUAUGUGGUAAUAGUAAUUUGGAUCUGUUUUCUUCGAUUUUGGAAUUGGUUCGCUGAGGUAUCUUCAUCGACAUGUGAUGCUUGCUUUCACUGGUCUUCCCUCAUUUUACUUGGUCACUGAUUGAAAUACUAGUCUCAUGUUGGUUGUGUUUUAAGUUUUUUUAUGCUCAAACUGACAAAAGAAAGUACUAAUCUAUGUGAAGCUAAUCAUGAAAGUUCGAAAAACUGGUAAUUACGAAUCGGCAUGUUCAUUUUGAUUACUGUUGGUUAUAUUAAAUUUGGAGACAUUAUAAUUACUCAGACUUUUGUGACUUGUGUCAGCACUCUUAAGCCAUGAAUUGGGUCCUAGUUGAAACUUAAUCUAUUGCCUAAAAUACGCAAUGAUUUGGAAGUUAUGACUAUUUGUGUAUGAUCUUCAUGAUUGACAAGAUUAAUAUAAUUAACUUCCUCGUGAAAAAGUGCCUUUAUUUAGUCUUUGGUGUCAUUAUUGUGAAUUGCUAUGAUUGUUCAUUUGUGAGAUGGUCAGUUUUAGUUUCAUUAUGAAUAGUGGCAACAAGUGGAAUUCUUUUGAGCAUUCGGACUUUAUUUGUGUCAAUAUAUGAUCUUGGGGUGCUUGAGCAUGGUUGUCAGUGAAAUUGGUAUUAAAAGAGUCAUGCUAAUUCUCUUUAAUUAGAUUUUAUAUUUCAUUUACAAUUGACUUCCACAACCCAUGGCCCUUACUUAAUUAAUGUUAAUCCUUUAGAAAUCGAGGUGUGCCAUUUAGUUGAAUUUUUCAUGGCCCUCGCACACUUGAAAGUGCGUAGUUGCUUUAGGUGCGUAAUUUAAAUUAAUUUCCUUAAACUCGGGUGUGCAUUUCAUGUGACCCAACUCCAAUCCUCAACAACGUUAAAUAAAAUAUGUCAUGAAUCGCGGGUGCAUUUCAUGUGGCGUGGUUCAAGGCGUAUUUUAAAUAAUAUUGAAUCUUCCUAAAAGCGUUUCAAAAUAAUUGAAAGCGGUUAAUAAGUUAAAAAUGCACAAUAGGUUUAAAACAUGUAGUAAGUGAGAUAAUAGGCCAAUUAUGAUAGUUUAAGCGACCGUGCUAGAACCACGGAAUCCGGAGGUGUCUAACACCUUCCCUCGGGUUAACAGAAUAUCUUAUUCAGAAUUUCUGGUUCGCAGACUUCAAAAGGAAAGUUGAAAUUUCCUCGAUUUGGGAUCUAAAAUAAACCGGUGACUUGGAACACCAAUUAAAAUAUUUCAAGUGGCGACUCUUAAAAAAAUAAUAAUCCCAUUUCGAUUGUCACUUAAAUUGGAACAAACUUCCUUAUACUCCCUUUCGGGGUAUUAAAAAAGAAGGUGUGACAUAUAUCAAUGUUAGUGUGGAUUCUUAGUUCGAAUUAGUUGGCCUUGGAUGCGAAUAGAAGCGCACAGGUUAGCGAUAAUGUAAGUGUGUUCGUCCAGGAAGUUAAUUAAGAUUCAAGGGGAAUUCGCAUUUUGGUGAAGUAUUUACUGGCUAUGGGAUUGACAAUGUUGUAUAGUCGAUGGGAAUUAGGAGUUAGUUUCUCAGCAAGGAUGUUGAAUGUUUAGGCUAAUUGAUUAAAAAAUGAAAAUGGGGGUACAUGAGGUGACAAGGCUCUAUCAUACUUUAAUCCAUCUAUCUCCUUAAUUUGUUUCGUUGCGCCACUGUUUACUUUUUAAUCUACCCUUCCAUGUUAUUUAACUUGACAUAAGUUUGUCUUGAAUGAAUUAUUUUGAAAGACUGUUGGGACGUGGGAGUGGGAAUGACCAAGACCCAUUAGUAAGUAAUCGUUUCAUGUUUUAGGAUCAGGCUUGGUCAAAUACAUUAAAUAAGAAGAUAAAACAAAGUGAAUGAGCAUGAAAUUGCUUUUUUAUUUCUUUUACUUUUAUUAUCUUGUCUGCUAGGAGCAUGCUUAGGCAGACCAUAUUUGGGCAGGCAAAUCUUUAGGGUGUUUGUGUUUUAGUUUCGUCGAGGCGAGAGGUUGUCCCUUUAGUUGAUUAUAUUAUCCAAGGGAUGCCCCGUAGUACUUUGUAAAUAUUCUGGAGGUCGUGACGAGUUUGUGAAGGAAGCAUGGUGUAGUAUUUUAUUUUUAUUAUUAUUUUUGUUUUAAUUUUUCUUUUAGGCGGGGACAACCUCGAACCUUCUUGUGUUUUUCUUCUUUUAUGUGUUUUUUCCUCAACUUGAAUAUUUUAAGAGCCAACUAGAUCGGGUAGUGAUUUUCACGGGACUCGGGGAAUGCCUAACAUCUUCUCCCCGAGCCAAAUGAACCCCCUUACCCAAAUCUCUGGUGCAAACUCUGUUUUGGAGUCCAAAGUAUUUUUAAAAGGAAAAACAAUUUCUAGAAAAAUGGUGACCUGACACACCGAAAUCAAAUGUCAGGUGGCGAUUUUGAAAAGUCCUUUUGAAUAUAAUAUUUUGUCACUUUUCUAAUUAAAAACCCUUUUGAGCUUUACAAAUUACUUUAUCUACUUUAAAUGGGUUAGUGAAGAGGAAAAAAGGGGGUGUGACACACCCGGCUCAAACCAACCAACUGGAGAUCUACACCGUUUCCCAGACAAAGCCUCAUAAGGAGCCAUCUGAAUACUCGACUAAUAAUUGUUGUUGUAAGCAAACUCUGCGAGCGGUAGAAACUGAUCUCAUGACCCUCCGAAAUCAAUAACACAAGCACGCAAUAUGUCCUCCAAUAUCUAAAUAGGGAUCUCGGACUGCCCGUCCGUCUGAGGGUGAAAAGUUGUGUUCAACUCAACCUGAGUACCCAACUCUCGCUGCACAGACCUCCAAUAUUGUAAAGUAAACUGAGUGUCCCUAUCUGAAAUGAUGGAAACUGGGACACCAUGCAAACGAACAAUCUCUCGGAUAUAGAUCUCUUUCAACCACUCUGAAGAAUAGGUAGUACACAUAGGAAUGAAGUGCGCGGACUUGGUCAGCCGAUCCAUAAUCACCCAAAUAGCAUCGAACCUUUUCAAAGUCCGUGGGAGCCCAACUUCAAAGUCCAUGGUGAUCCGCUCUCACUUCCACUCUGGAAUAUUCAUCUGCUGAAGCAAGCCACUCGGUCUCUGAUGCUCAUAUUUCACCUGCUGACAAUUGAGACAUCGAGCUACAAAUCCCACAAUAUCCUUCUUCAUUAUCCUCUACUAAUAAUGUUGUCUCAGAUCCUGAUACAUCUCCGCGGCACCCAGAUGAAUGGAAUACCGGGAGCUAUGGGCCUCCUCUAAAAUCCUUUCCCGAAUCCCAUCUACAUUGGGCACACAUAUCCGGCCAUGCAUACUCAACACCACGUCAUUACCAAUAGUCACAUCUUUGGCAUCAUCGUGCUGAACUCUAUCCUUAAGGACAAGCAAAUGAGGAUCAUCACAUGAUCAAAUAAGGAAGACCGAGAAAUCACACAAGCCAAUACCCGACUGUGCUACGAAAUAUCUAACCUCACGAACCGAUUGUCCAAGCCCUGAACAUCAACUGCAAAAGGUCUCUCCACAACUAGAAUAUAUUCCAAACUCCCCAUACUCACCGCCUUCAUACUCAAGGCAUCAGCCACCACAUUGGCCUUCCCCGGAUGGUACAAAAUAGUAAUAUCAUAGUCCUUUAGCAGCUCUAACCAUCGUCGUUGCCUCAAAUUGAGAUCCUUCUGCUUGAACAACUGUUGGAGGCUACGAUGAUCAGUAAACACCUCACAAGACACAUCAUACAAAUGAUGCCUCCAAAUCUUCAACGCGUGAACAAUGGCAGCCAACUCCAAAUUAUGAAUAGGGUAGUUCUUCUCAUGGGGAUUCAACUGGCGAGAAGCAUACGCAAAAACUCUACCCUCCUGUAUCAACACAUACCCAAUACUAACUCUCGAAGCAUCACAAUACACGGUAUAUGAACCUAAAGCUGAUGGCAAAACUAACACUGAAGCUGUGGUCAAGGCAGUCUUGAGCUUCUGAAAGCUCUCCUCACACUCAUCCGACCACAUAAAUGGAGCACCCUUUUGAGUCAACUUGGUCAAGGGUGAUGUGAUAGAUGAAAAUCCCUGAACAAAUCGACUGUAAUAACCCGCCAAACCAAGAAAUCUGUGAAUCGCUAUGGCUGAGGAUGGUCUGGGCCAACUCUGAACCACUUCUAUCUUUAUUGGAUCAACCUGAAUACCCUCGCUGGACACCACGUGCCCCAAGAAAGCCACUGAACUGAGCCAAAACUCACACUUGGAGAACUUUGCAUAAAACUUCUCCUCCCUUAAUCUCUGCAACACAACUCUCAAAUGCUCCGCGUACUCCUCCUGACUACGCGAGUAUACCAGAAUAUCAUCAAUGAAAACUUUGACAAACGAGUGGAGAUAAGGCCGAAACAUGGUGUUCAUCAAAUGCAUGAACGCUGCUAGGCAUUGGUCAGUCCAAAAGACAUCACCAGGAACUCAUAAUGACCAUAUCGGGUCCUGAAAGUUGUCUUAAGAAUGUUCGAGUCCCUGAUCUUCAACUGGUGAUAACCUGAACGGAGAUCAAUCUUGGGUAACACUCUCGCUCCCUGAAGCUGGUCAAACAAAUCAUAGAUACGAGGCAAAGGAUACUUGUUCUGGAUUGUUACUUUGUUAAACUGCCUGUAAUCAAUGCACAUCCUCAUCGUGUUAUCCUUAUUCUUCACAAAUAGAACAGGCGCACCCCAAGGCGACACACUAAGCCGAAUAAACCCCUUAUCAAGGAGUUCUUGAAGCUACUUCUUCAACUCAUUCAACUCCGCUGGUGCCAUACGAUACGAUGGAAUAGAAAUGGGUUGAGUGCCUGGCACCAGAUCAAUACCAAAAUAAAUAUCCAUGUCCAGUGGCAUGCCCGGCUGGUCUGCAGGAAACACAUCGGGAAAAUCCCUCACAACAGGGACAGAAUCAAUACUAGGAGUCUCUACACCGACAUCCCUCACAAAGGCUAAGUAUGAAAGACAACCCUUCCCAAUCAUAAGCUGGGCCUUCAAAAAUGAAAUUACCCUACUGGGAACAUAAUCAGUCGAACCUCGCCACUCAAUCCGUGGCACACCAGGCAUAGCCAAUGUCACUGUCUUUGCAUGACAGUCCAAAAUAGCAUGACACGGAGAUAACCAAUCCAUUUCCAAUAUCACAUCAAAGUCCACCAUACAAAGCAAUAACAUGUCUACUCGGGUCUCUAAACCCCCAAUAGUCACCACACACAACCAGUACACACGGUCCACAACAAUAGUAUCGCCCACUGGAGUAGAUACACGAACAGACGAAACAAGAGACUCACGGGCCAUAUCCAAAUAACGAGAAAAAUAUGAUGACACAUAUGAAAAAGUGGAACCAGGAUCAAAUAACACAGAGGCAUCUCUGCGGCAAACUGAAACAAUACCUGUGAUCACAACAUCUAAAGCAAUAGCAUCGGGUCUAGCUGGGAGUGCAUAGAAAUGGGCCUGACCGCCACCUGAUCGACCUCCCCCUCUAGGGUGACCCCUAGUUGGCUGGGUGGGUGGUGGUGAAGUGACUGGCGAUGAAGCCGAUGGCUGACUCCUCUGCUAAGAUGAACCCCUAAGACGACGAGGACAUUGCCUCCACAUAUGACCUAACUAUCCACACUCAUAGCAACUCCCUAGUGCUGGAGACGGAGAGUGAAGGGAACCCCUAGCACUGGAAUGACUAGAAGAUGCAUCUGGCAUAGAAGGGCCCUAAACUGACGGAGCACGGGAUAAACUCUAGGCUGGAAGGACACCAAGUGAUGACUAGCCCUGAUGAGAACUGUGAGAACCAUGACCCGAUUACGCCCCACGAUAAGUUGGGCGAGCUGACGCAGCAUGCCUGAAUGGACGACCUCUGCCAUGUUGAAACUGACCUCUCGAAGGAGCACCACCUUAACUACCAGAUUCCCGAGACCUCUUGGCCUCCCUUUCAUCUCGCUCCUAGCGACGAACUGACUCAAUCUCGCAAGCAAUGUCAACAACCUCCUCAAAGGUAGCACCAGACACCCUCUCCCUGGUCAUGAGAAUCCGAAGCCGAUAUAUGAGGCCAUCAAUGAACCUCCUAAUCCUCUCUCUCUCCGUAGGAACCAACCAAACAGCAUGACGAGCUAACUUCGAGAACCUCAUCUCAUACUGUGUCACAGUCAUAUCUCCCUGACGCAACCACUCGAACUGCCUGCGCAGCUCCUCUCUACGAGGCUGUGGCACAUAUUUCUCCAAAAAGAUAACGGAGAACUGCUUCCAAGUAAGGAUUGCUGCACCAACAGGCAUACACCUCUCAUAAGCCUCUCACCAAGUGAAGGCAGCUCCGAAAAACUGAAAAGUAGUAAAUGCAACCCUGCUGGUCUCCAGAAUACCACUGUACGAAGAAUCCUAUGACACUUGUCUAAGAAACCCUGGGCAUCCUCGCCCUCUGCACCACUAAAAGUCGGAGACUGAAGUCUACCAAACCUUUCCAACCUGCGAUGCUCAUCCUCUGGCAUAGAAAGAGCUACAUAGUCCUGAGCAGCUGCAACCGGCUGGGCUGGAUGUGCCCCCCGUGUCUGAAGUCCCUGGACGACCUGCACAGGUGUGAGAGCAGCGGGAGUCUGAGUGCCUCCCCCGGCCUAAGAAGUAGUUGCGGCUGUAGUAACUAAGACCGCCUGAGCUAGGCCAUUGCAUAUUGAUAGAAUUUGAGCUAGGGCCUCUUGAAGACCCGGAAUCACAAUGGGCACAGCUGGUGCUACUGGAGCGUCCACAACUGGGACCUGAUCCUGAACUGGGACGGCUGGUGGAUCUGCAGGUGUUGCCCUAGAUGCUGUGCGGGCUACACCCCUGCCCGUACCACGGCUUCGACCGUGUCCUCGGCCUCUAGAGGCCACAGCUAGUGGUACUGGUGGUCGUCCAUCCUAACCAGUCGCUCGUGUUCUCACCAUCUGUGAGAGAACAGAAUAACAGAAGUUUAGUACUCGGAUCAACAUAUUCGCACGACAAGAAUUUCAACAAAUUCGCACGACAAGAGUAAUGUUUGAGUACGCCAACUCAGUAAGUAAUAAAAGUAAAGGCAGCUGAGCGAUAACAAAACACGUAAAAACACAACAAAAUGCUAUAACGAGGCAGUGUAAAACUAGAACAAUACAAUAAAACAGUAAAAGCUCAUAAAAACUUCUUAGUUCAGUAAAACCUUUUUAAAACAUCUUUUAACAGUUCAAAUGAGUGAAUGAAAACAUGGAUAAAAGAUAGAAACACAAAUCAGCCCCUCGGGCAAAAUACCAUUAGAACCAGCCCCUCGAGCUAUCUCACAAUCACUCAUAUCAGCCCCUCGGGCUAUAUCACAUCACAAACUAGGUACCAGCGCUCACUGGAGGUGUACAGACUCCGAGAGGGGACCCUUACGGCUCAAGAGUAAUAACAAGCCAUCUCGUGGCAUAAUCAACAAGCUCUCGGCCUCAUAUCAAGCCAUCUCGUAGCAUAAUCAAAUCAGGCCCUCGGCCUCAUAAUCAUGAAUCAGUAUAAUACUGUUGUGGCAUAUAACCCGAUCCCAUAGUAUCCCUCACAACAUAGGCCUUCGACCUUACUUGGUCAGAAUCUCACAAGCCACUCAGGCAAUGAUGCUCAACCCAAAAUAUCAUUUAAAAUAUCAAAAACGAGUAAAGAUGGCUGAGUUGUGAAAACAGUAGAAUAUAGCAUGACUGAGUACAAAUAUGAAGUCAAACAGUAAGGAAUAGUAGUAAAAAUCCCCUAAGGGUUCAAAACAGUUAGCACGGAGCCCAAAUAUGGCAUUCGGCCCAAAACAUGAUGAUAGCAAACAAUUUUCAAUCAAAUACGCGGUUAAACAAUCAUACGGGAUGGAGUCACAAUCCCCAACGGUGCACGACCCCACGCUCGCCUUCUAGCAUGUGCGUCAACUCAAAAUAGCAUAUCGAUAUGAAAUCCGGGGUUUCGUACCCUCAGGACAGCAUUUACAAUCAUUACUUACCUCUAUCCGGUCCAAACUCUAGCAGUGAUGCCUUUGCCUCUCAAAUCAGCCUUAACUCGCGUCGAAUCUAUCCAAAAUCAAAAUCAUGACGUCAAAAUAUAUCAAAGGAACGAAGCCCAUGCGAUAAUAAUAAAAUUACAACACAAAUCCCAAAAUUAACCAAACCCAACCCCUGGGCCCACAUCUCGAAAUCCAAUAAAAUUACAUCAAUAAGCUCCUUAUCCUCCCACGAGUGCAUCUAUUUCAAAAGUACUAAAAUCUGACCACAAAUGACCCCUCAAAUCCUUAAUCAAAGGUCUCCAAUCUCAAGCCCUAAUUUCUUCAAUAUUAACCCACAAAUUCCAUAAAUUUCAAGCCUAAUCAAUGAAAUAUCACCAUAGGAAUGAGUUUUAUGUUCAAAAAUCUUACCUCAAUGAAGUUCCAUUUGAUUCCCUCUUCAAAAUCCACCAAAAAUCUCCAAAAUCAAUUUAGAAAUGGUGAAGAAAGGCUGAAAAUCGCGAAGGAGGGUUUAUAUACUUUCUGGCCUAGGAAUACCCCACCUGCGAUCCCAAACACGCACCUACGUGAUCGCAUCUGCGGCCAAAGCAUCGCAACUGUGGUUUUCACUUAUCCUCCCUUUUUCGCAUCUGCGACCGAACGCCCGCACCUGCGCUAUCGCAGGUGCGCUCCAAUAGCUGCUUUUGUGGUUCCAGCUGAGCUCCCUCUUGGCCGCUUCUGCGGCUUAUCUUCCGCUUCUGCGGGCAUCGCACCUGCAGCCUCCUAAUCGCAGGUGCGGUUAUGACAGCAACAAUAAACUUCAGCUGCCAAACUCAACUCCAAAAUCUCUCGUCAACCACCCGAAAUCCCCCCGAGGCCCCCGAGACCUCAACCAAAAGCACGAACAAGUCAUAUACCACUAUCCAAACUUAUACCAAUCUUCAAAACACCUCAAACAAUAUCGAAUCAACCCAAAACAUCGGAUUCAAGCCUAAGAUUCCAAACAUCUUCUGAAUUCCUCUUUUGAUCAAAACGUCUAUCAAACUAUCUCCGAAUGACCUGAAAUUUUGCACACACAUGACACAAUGGACCUACAACAACUUUUGAAAUUCCAUUCCGACCCUUAUAUCAAAAUCUCACCUAUCAACCAAAAAACGCCAAAAUUUCAAUUUCGCCAAUUCAAGCCUAAAUCUACUCCGGACCUCCAAAACACAUUCCGAUCACACUCCUAAGUCCCAAAUCACCACUCGAAGCUAUCCGAACCAUCAGAAUUCACAACCGAGCCCUUUUUUACAUAAGUCAACAUCCGAUUGACCUUUCCAACUUGAGCUUACUCAAAAAAGGCUAAGUGUCUCAAACCUUACCAGAACCUCUCCGAGCUCGAGCCAACCAACCUGAUAAUACAUAAUACAGCUGAAAAAGAUAAUAAAAAGUAGAAAUGGGGGAAACGGAGCGGUAACUCAUGAAACAACCGGCCAAGUCGUUACACACCACCUCUUUGCCUUUACUACUUUCAUCAACUUCAUUAAACUUCCUGUGUAACUUAGGAUGAAUUACCCAACAAUCCAAUUCAUUAUGCCUUUGCUUCUUACAAGUCUUACAAUACUUUGGCAUGUAAUCAUAUUUAAUCUUGAUCCACUUAAAUUCCUCAGGCCUAGAUUCAUCUUCCUCUUCUACUAUUUUAAUUUGUUGAGGAAACAUAGCUAACAAAUUAACCUCAACCUUAACCUUUGCACAAGUAGGACUAGUACCAUUUUGAGUUGCAAGAUUAACAUGUAAGGGAUUGCACUUGCCAGUGAGAAUAUAAAUUCCUUACCAAAGAAGUUGGGUGGCAACUUGGGAAAGUUAAUCUAAGCUAAUGCAAUAGGAGUUUCCUCCUUAGGCUUCUACCAUGGAUUUCACUUCGUGCACCUUAUUUUCCACAUCUCUCCUUGAGUUUUCAAGUAGAAUGCAGGCUUUGAUAGAAGAUGAACAUAAUCCUUCGUUAAUAACAGCCUUAUCAACACAUGAUUAUCUUCGAUUAAGCCUAUUGAAUAGGCUCUCUUAAGUUCACAUUGAAUGGGAAUUACUUUACGUAGUUCAUUAAUCACAGGCUUCCCAUAAGAAAAUUUUCCAAGAACUGCAGUUGUAGACCUUGUUAAACGAUUGAUUGUUUAACUUCUUGCUUCUUCCACUAGAUUAUAGGUUCACCAUGUAGAAACUUAACAGGUUUGAUUAGUAUUUUAGCUAGGGCUUGCAUGGGCGCAUUUAAAAUGCUUUGGGUAGUAGUAAUUGUGCGUAGUUUUGGAGUAGAUUAGGGUAGGUAGAUGUUGUUUGGGGAUGUGGGGAUGGUAGGGACGACUGGCUAGUGGCCGGAGAAGCCAUUAAUGGUCUGCAAGAGCUUUGUGCUUGAGUCCUCGCAAAUCACCUGUCGCCAGAGCUCUCUCCUCAUGCAAUUUUAGGGGUUUUUGGUUUAAAUUAGUGAUUUGAAUUGGAGAAAUUGAGGAUUUUUGUAAAAACUUUCUAAAAUAUAAGAUGAUGAUUUGAAGGCCAAUUUGAUUGCAGAAUUGGAUAAUUUUUGUAUGGUUAGACUCGUAUCGGAAUGAGUGUUCGGAUUUUGUUAGUUUUGUCGGGUUCCGAGGUGCAAGCCUGAGGUUGACUUUUUAGGUUGACUUUUUUGUUUUCAUUAAAAAUUGAAACUUUAUUAUUUGAAAUUAUUUUCUAUGGAUUUUAUUUGUGAUAUUAAAUUAUUUUGGCUAUAUUCAAGCUGUGUGGAGGUUAUUUUACACGAGAAGGUCAUUUUAGAGUAUUGACUUAGCUUCUUUGAGGUAAGUAUCUUGCCUAACUUUGUGUGUAUGGGGGGGAGGGGGGAACUACCCCUUAGGAUUUGGGUUGAUUGUAUUAUUUAAAUUAUGUGAACGACGUGUACGCGAGGUGGCGAGCUCGGGCUUAUAUGUGGAAAUUGACCGGUUUAGAUUCUUAGGCUUCUUUCAUGUAUUUAUUUGAAAUUGUUCACACAUGUUAUAUCUUUUAUUUGUCAAAUUUACUCUUAUAUGUUUUAUUUGAAGUUGUUACCUCUUUUAUUGUAAUGUAACCUCCUUUAUUAUUGAGUUAUUCUUAAUUGAAAUUGUUAAUACAUGAUAUCCUUUUAUUGUCGGAUUAUUCUCAUGCAUUUAGACAUAGUUGCUAGUUCAUGCCAUUUAUUUCAUUGUUCGUUUAUGUUAUAUACUAAAAUUCGAAGUUUGCCAUUUCAUGGAAAUAUUUUCAUUAUUGAGUUUAUUCUUAAGCAAUUAAUUGAAGUUGAAGUCAUUGAAAGUCGUUAACCUAUUUUAGUUGGAGUUGUUAUUUAAUGGGGUAUUAUUCCUUGUUGAGUUACUUUCCCCGCUCAUUUUGUUGCUAUUGAGAUUUUGUACACAUCGUGUUUGAGACGUGGGCUAUGUGUUAUGGUAAUAUUGGUAUUGUUGUUGUUAAGAGGUUGUGGCCUAUGGGACUUGUGGUACGAGUUGAUAUGUCGUGUUGUUGUGAUGUUAGCAUACGUGAAUUUGUUGUAUGAGUUGAUCAUUCUUGUUAUACGGAUCAUAAUGUACGCAUAAGGGUGGCAUCUCACUGUUUUCGUUAUGAGGAACAUAAGGGUGGCAUCUCACUAUUGAUAAUUAUGAGGAGUGAUACGGGUGGCUAAUGAUAUUGUUAGGGUGGAGUGAUACAAAUGUCUAAUAGAGUGAUAUGGGUAGCUACUGAUAGUGUCAGGGCAGAGUGAUAUGGCGAUCAAAGUGAUAUAGAUGGCUAUUAUGUUAAAUGUCACGGCGGAGCUAUAAGGGUCUCUAUUAUGAUGUUAUACAUACGGAAAGAUAAGGGUGGCUCUGUCAGGGAUGAUAUGUGAUGGUAGGGGCAUUAUGUUGAUGAUAUUCUUGUGAUGGUUUGAUUUUCCUUGUGUAUAUCGUGCACCUUACGUGACUUGUUGUGUUGCUUUCAAUGAGCUACUCGAUGUCGUUGAUAUUACUUGUUGACUUAGACUGUAGUAGUAUAACAGCACAAGCAUAGAUCGUAGCAUGCCACUUAUACCAGUUCAUGAGUAUGAGACUUGAUAUUCAUUACUCAUGCCCAUAUAUUCUUGUAUUAUUUGCUUCUAUUUGGUGUUGAGCAUAUGACCACGGCGAGCGAAUUGUGAUUGUGAGCCCGUGAUCACGCCGGGCGGAUUGAGAUAUUGACACUUGAGUUGUCCGUGCGAUUGUGAUUAAUAAUGUGGGCACAAGGUGCCAUGAGCAUAUGAUUUGUGGUUUGAGACUCGUAACUUGUGUUUAUGAGAUGAGGUAUCUUGAAGCAAUUCUAUUGUGAAACUUAUGUUAGAAUGGUUUGAGUAUUCGGUUUUCAUUGUUUUUCCUUAAUUGGUUUCACUAGUACUUAACGGUGUUCAGUUUACUUUAGGAUUAUAUCACAUGUUUAUUCCUUGUUGUCAUUUAUUGUUAUUGUUUCCAUUAUUAGCUUUAUACUUAUUUAUUUCAUAGGUUAUUAUAACUAGUAGGUGUCUUGACUUGUACGUCGUCAUUACUCCAUUGAGGUUAGUCUUGAUACUUAGUGGGUACCGACCAUGAUGUACUCAUACUAGACUUCUACACAUUUUUGUGUAGAUUCGGGUAUUGGAGAUAUCAGACUCGCAGAGUUAGCUUCUUGAUCGCGGGGAUUCAAGGUUGAGUUGUUUGGUCGUCGUAGUCCCUUGGAGUCCUUUCCUGUUUUAUUGUACUUUCAAUUUGUUAUCCGAACGGUAUUGUAUUUCAAUUUUUGAAAUAUUUCUAUGUAUUCAGCUAGAGUUCGUGACUCUGUAUUACCUAGUCUUGGGAGAUUUUUGUGAUUAUUGCCGCGUAGGCUUGUUUCGCCUUUAUUUCGGUAUUUAUAGUAAACUCUAUUUUAAAAUAUUAUUGUUAAACUGGUUUAAUUGUUGUAAGUGUCCGACUUACCUUGUCUUAGAGAUUAGGUGCCAUUACGAGAACGUAAGGCUGGAUUUUGG
rnacentral:lncRNA from 1 species